AGCGAAGGGGUGGGGUGGGAUCUUGGUCCAGCUGGUACUGGAGCGGCGACAAUUUUGGCUAGUCUAAGAAGGGCAUUCGAGUGACCGUUGACAACGGGUGGGACAGCGUCAGAGCUGGAGGGAGAGCCAGCACUGUAUGCUUCCAGGACUUCUUGCUAGGUGCAUUAGUUUUUAUUUUUAAGAGUUGGGUAAAAGACAUUAAUUAGUUAGCAUCUCACUCAUCGGCGAUUUUCUACGGUAUGAUUUCAUCCAAAGAGGAUUUCUUAAUCGCACUGUGUGACACCGUUAGGGGACUUAGAGUGUCACUCGCCGCCUUAAAUCCUUUCGGGAACAAGCCAGGAUAUAAAUAAAUAAAGCUAGGUGUGGGUCUUCCCUUCACAAGGCGCUGGUAGGCAGACUAAAGACAGGCAACAGCUGAGUGUGCACACAGAACUAAAUAUUGAACGAAAUACGAGUGUCGGAAUAAAAUUCAUUGCCAUGUGCACGGCUUAUGAUUAUACAGAUCUUGGACAUAUCACGGACCUGAACGUCAACCCUGCAACACCGGAUAAAACAUCUAAUGUAGCUGGAAUAGACUCUGAAAGGACGUUAGGCAUUAUCUAAAUCAAGUCCCUCAUUUUACAGAUGAGUAAACUGACUCAGUGAAGUAUUUUGCUCAAGGUCGUUCAUCAAAUUAGUAGUUUAAUUAACUCAGUGUUCUAGGAAGCAGGGUAGUAGAAAAGCAUGGGAUUCGGAGUCUGAAAUCUUCCUUGGUUUCUGGUCCUUGUAGGCUGUUUUACAAGUGUAUCUUGGGCAAAUCCCUUAACGUCUUGCCAUUUAUUAAGGGCUUACUUACCACGUGGCAAACAAUCCACUUUGCAUGCUGUGUCAAUUACAUGCAGUAUGUCGUGUAGUUAUUACUGUCCCCAUUUUAUGAGGUAGUUUAGGUUUAAAGAUAUUAGAAAUUUACCCAAAGUUACGCAGUUAUAAACAUUGUAGUAAUUUCAAACUCAGGUCUUCGUGACUGCAAAGGCUGCUGUCUUAAGUAUUGUAAUACAUUAGAGCUCCGGAUUCCCUCCCACUCAAAACAGAGACUGAGACUCCAACCAAUUUCCACCAUUAUUGGGAGUCAAACGAGAGAGACUGUGGCAAUGUAUUCUAAGCUGUACAAAGGUAUAAACAUAUUCACUAGAUUUGUAGAAUGAAGUUAUUCCUUCCCUAUACUUUCCACUACAACAAUUCAGCCAAAAAGAUGGCUUUCAUACUAAGCAUAAGAAGGAACUUCACUGUAAUUAUGAUAUUCUAACCAAGAAUAUAUGCAUAUCUAGGCAAUAACCAAAGUGAAUAGAAUAAAAUUUAAUUCCUGAUAGAUUAAAUAGGCAAUAGCAAGGAAUGCUAACGCUCCUCAUAGCGUUCUUGUUGGAAGAAUCAUCUAGGAGGCAUUGGGAUUUCUGGUGCUUUUUAAGCAAUGAGAGAUAUCAGUCCACUGAAUGAGGAAGAGAAUAACGUUUAGUUUCGGACUAAAAGUUCAUCUGGACUACGGAAAACACGUUUGCCUCAAUCAGUGAAGAAGGUAUGCUGAGAGCUGAAAGAAAAGGAAAGCAGCAACAGUGAGAGCUCAGAAAUUCCCAGACUGUUUUGAUGAUAAGGUCCAAGAACUUGCCAUGUGAUCCAUCACUACUAGACUCCCACAACUGCAUUAGAUUUGUUCAGGAUUUUCAUAUAAUUUUCAUAACUGGCUAAGCAUUGGAAAUGGAUGGGGAGAAGGCCUGAUGAAAAUUACUGAGGAAGCCUCUUAGCCUAUGUGCUCUGAGAGUAGUGACACCUAGCAGUCGUUCAAAAGAUGAUCAAGAGGAGCAUGAAAAAAUCCCCUGAAUCCAUUGGCUUUCUUCCCUAUACUGACAACAGUUUACUUGUGUAAGAGAUGCAUGCCUCGACUCCGGACCCCUUCUUUCAUCUGCAAAAUCAGCAGCACCCUCACAUCAUCUCCUGUAACAAACUCUCUCUGUCUCCUCCAUAUAAGGUCACUGAUGGUUACAUUUAGGGUCCAUGAUAUAAGGCCCUCUCCAGGGUGCCUGAGUUUGUUGUUUCAUCACAGAAUUACACGGAAGAGACUGGAAAGAUAACUCUUCAAAUGUCAAAUCAUUCCCCUAUAAAAAAUUUUGCCACAGCUGUUGAAAUAUGGCCUUAGGGUUUAUGACAGAAUUUGAACCAGCCCCAUGGAAAAUGCAUCUUGACUCUGCUUUUAUUCCUUUCCCUGCUGAGCUCCUAAUAGAAGAUGGAUGUCUAUUGCUUUUCUCUUGAUAUUCAUGGCACUGCUCCUCUCCAUCCAUAGGAUUAUCUUAUAGAUGAGGGUCUCAUCCUUUUGCCCAGGCUGGAGUACAG
rnacentral:lncRNA from 1 species